rnacentral:siRNA from 1 species
AUGGGGCUUCGUCGAGUUAUGAA